rnacentral:rRNA from 1 species
AGUAAAGUUAAUACCUUUGCUCAUUGACGUUACCCGCAGAAGAAGCACCGGCUAACUCCGUGCCAGCAGCCCGCGGUAAUACGGAGGGUGCAAGCGUUAAUCGGAAUUACUGGGCGUAAAGCGCACGCAGGCGGUUUGUUAAGUCAGAUGUGAAACUCCCCCGGGCUCAACCUGGGAACUGCAUCUGAUACUGGCAAGCUUGAGUCUCGUAGAGGGGGUAGAAUUCCAGGUGUAGCGGUGAAAUGCGUAGAGAUCUGGAGGAAUACCGGUGGCGAAGGCGGCCCCCUGGACGAAGACUGACGCUCAGGUGCGAAAGCGUGGGGAGCAAACAGGAUUAGAUACCCUGGUAG